rnacentral:rRNA from 1 species
GACAGAGGGGGCAAACGUUGUUCGGAUUUACUGGGCGUAAAGCGCGUGUAGGCGGCUUGGCAAGUCGGAUGUGAAAGCCCACGGCUCAACCGUGGAAGCGCAUCCGAAACUGCUUCGCUCGAGUCUCGGAGAGGAAGGUGGAAUGCUUGGUGUAGAGGUGAAAUUCGUAGAUAUCAAGCAGAACACCUGCGGCGAAGGCGGCCUGCUGGACGAUGACUGACGCUGAGACGCGAAAGCGUGGGGAGCAAACAGG